UGGGGGUUCAGGGAGCUUAGACCCCAGCUUGGGGUUCCCUGCAUUGCACCACCCAGCCCAAACUGAAACUAAAAAUUCCUCUAGCCGCUUCCCCUCCCCGCUCCUCUUCUCCUUUGUUCAGUCUCCUGGGCAGAAGGUGUCACUUCUCCCACCUCCGGCUCAGGUAGCUUCCUUCUCAUCCCCAAUGUAACUCCCCUGCAACAUUCCCAGGUCAAAUCCUCCCUGCUCCGUCACACGAGGUCACUCCCCUUCAUCCCCAUGAUGCUGCCCUGAUGCUGUGGCAGAAUCUACCAGGGCCAUCACUGGGACCUGGAAACUCAAGACAUUCAUUAGGAACAGGGCAGACGUGUUGAGUUGUUGCCAGCAAGUGACUGAGGUCCCCAGUCCAAAAUGAGCAGCACCUGAUACUCUCUAUGGUCAAAGACCAUAGAAUCGUAGGACUGGAAGAGAUAUCAAGAGGUCUUCUAGUCCAGUAAAUCCCAUGGCCAACUGUGGGACCCUUGAGGCUCCUUACUGGCCAAGCUGCCAUUUGCCACCUCUUGCCCCAUUGGUCGAGGGGACUCUGGCUGCCUGCUACUGAAGUGGAGCAAUGGAACGCAGAUAUAAGUGUGGGCUGGCCCCUUGGAGGCUAGCUGCACUGAGCAGAGGGCCACCCAAGUCACCUCACUCCAUGCGGGUGGUGGUUAGUCACUUGGAGAUGGCUUGCAUGAGCCAGCGUACCACCAGAGUGGCCAUGGGCUCAUAACAAAACUAUCCCAGGAGCUUGCCACUUAAGACAUGAGACAACAAAGGGCUGCACCAAAGAGACAGGGGAGUACAGGGAAACAGUGGUCAGCAUGGAAAGUAGCAGCCACAGCACAGCAGCUGCCUAACCACUGUCAAGUCUUUCUUGUAGACCUCGCUGCAGAGGAAGAGCCUGCAGGAGGAAAGACCUUGCAGCUGUUUUAUGGGGAGCUACUCCCAUGUUAGAGGGGUUGCAUGGGAGGAAGUGUGUGUAUGCCAAGAUGGGGUUUCCUGGAGCCACAGGCUCAAUUUCUGCCUCCAGGACACAGCUCUAUAAUAAAAACAGCCGAAGCGCUUUUCAUCACUAGCUUUUAAAGUGCUUUAUAGAGGAGGUCAACAUCGUCAUCAUCAUCCCCAUUUCACUGGGGAAACUGAGGAACAAAGCAUUGGCAUGAUUUACCUGAGGUCACCUAGCAGGUCAGUGGCAGAGCUGUGCGUAGAGCCCAGGUCUCGUAAGUUCCAGUCCAGUGCUCGCUCUCUAGUCUCUCCUUCACCCCCUCUGGUGUAGUGGGGCGAGGCCAUGCUUGGGGCAGCCACUCAGGGUUAGUGCUGCAGUAGCGCUCGUUGCUUUAGGACUGCUCCAGUCCCCCUGCUGCAGCACAACCCACCUCUGUGCUGCUACACCAGUAAUCCUGCUCCCAGUGCACCCUCGUCCCCAUUCCAUAUGCCGCUAACUACCCUGUGGCACAUCCCCUCCCUGGCCCCCUGUCAUUUGGGAAGGGAGAGCAAGGAGCGAUGGUAUCUGAGGCUGACUGCAGACAAGAGGGAGACCAUGGAUCUGAAGCUGUUGGAAGAGCCACUCUCCUGCCAGAGUUUCCCGAAAUAGCAGGUCACUGAUAGUCGACCAGCCUGCAUGCUGGCCCCAUAUGGUUUCCCCCCAGUGACUACCGCACACCCAUCUGUCCCAACUCCCCAGCUGCUUCCCUUGCUUGGCCACCCUCCUUCCCUGGCUCAGGUUUGGUUGGGGAGGAGAGACCUUGGCAGCAGUAGAGAACGGAAGUAGCUGCAUAAUCCAUACUCAGUCAGGUUGGCUUGUUGCAAACGGAAAAGAUGAAAUACAAAAUGUUGAGGUUCAAAUAGCUUGUAUAAUGCACUGACUGAAGCGAUAAGGGUUAUGCCUUCAAAAUACUGGAGUUACGAAUUUCUUUAAGUUACAGAAGAGCAAAAAGAAGGGAGACGCUCUGAGUAGAGUAUCAAGAAUGGGCAAUUUUCAAAUUUUUUUAAUUAGAUAAUUUUUCAAAAAGUGAACAUCCUAGAGUCUGCUUCUAUCCACAACCAUUGCUAUGCAAACUUGGAGAUGAAAACACUUUCGUUUUAUUGCCAGAAAGUACAGAAACUUCUGUUUUAAGGGAAAUCUCAACAGAGGCUACAAUAGAAGUUGUGUCCAUGAUGCAUGUGUUCUCUCUCUCUCUGUUCCCCCUAGCCCUGAGUGCAGACUUCAGAACUCUGUAUAUUGCUUCAGAGAUCCUGGCCGCAGUGGAUUUUUUCCUUUCCUUUGGUCUUAAUAUGUUCUUGUAUGGGAUCUUGCCAUACUUGACUCACCUGGCAAAAUAAAACUAGACUAUAAAGCAGCA